rnacentral:rRNA from 1 species
CUUGGUCAUUUAGAGGAAGUAAAAGUCGUAACAAGGUUUCCGUAGGUGAACCUGCGGAAGGAUCAUUACAGAGUUCAUGCCCUCACGGGUAGAUCUCCCACCCUUGAAUACUUAUACCUUUGUUGCUUUGGCGGGCCGCUUCGGCCACUGGCUCCGGCUGGUGAGUGCCCGCCAAAGGAUCCUAAACUCUGAAUAUUAGUGUCGUCUGAGUACUAUAUAAUAGUUAAAACUUUCAACAACGGAUCUCUUGGUUCUGGCAUCGAUGAAGAACGCAGCGAAAUGCGAUAAGUAAUGUGAAUUGCAGAAUUCAGUGAAUCAUCGAAUCUUUGAACGCACAUUGCGCCCCUUGGUAUUCCGAGGGGCAUGCCCGUUCGAGCGUCAUUAUAACCCUUCAAGCUCAGCUUGGUGUUGGGGCCUGCUGUUACCGGCAGCUCUUAAAAUCAGUGGCGGUGCCAUCUGGCUCUAAGCGUAGUAACACUUCUCGCUACAGGGUCCCGGUGGAUGCUUGCUAUCAACCCCUUAACUUCUAUGGUUGACCUCGGAUCGGGUAGGGAUACCCGCUGAACUUAAGCAUAUCAAUAAGCGGAGGAAAAGAAACCAACAGGGAUUGCCUUAGUAACGGCGAGUGAAGCGGCAACAGCUCAAAUUUGAAAUCUGGCUCUUUCAGGGUCCGAGUUGUAAUUUGUAGAAGAUGCUUCGGGUGUGGUACCGGUCUAAGUUCCUUGGAACAGGACGUCAUAGAGGGUGAGAAUCCCGUAUGUGACUGGUCACCUUCGCCCAUGUGAAGCUCUUUCGACGAGUCGAGUUGUUUGGGAAUGCAGCUCAAAAUGGGUGGUAAAUUUCAUCUAAAGCUAAAUAUUGGCCAGAGACCGAUAGCGCACAAGUAGAGUGAUCGAAAGAUGAAAAGCACUUUGGAAAGAGAGUUAAACAGUACGUGAAAUUGUUGAAAGGGAAGCGCUUGCAACCAGACUUGCACGUAGUUAAUCAUCCGGGGUUCUCCCCAGUGCACUUGGCUACGUUCAGGCCAGCAUCGGUUUCGGUGGUUGGAUAAAGGCUUAGGGAAUGUGGCUCUCUUCGGGGAGUGUUAUAGCCCUAGGUGCAAUGCAGCCCACCGGGACCGAGGACCGCGCUUCGGCUAGGAUGCUGGCGUAAUGGUUGUAAGCGACCCGUCUUGAAACACGGACC